AAUACCACUGCUGCCCCUGUCCCCUAUACACAAAGCUUAUUAAUUUAUUUUUCUAUUUUUCAGUAUUUUCAUUUUUUAAUUGUUUUAUCAUUUGUUUUUUCUCUCUCUCAGAACAGAUCGAAGAGAGAAGCCGGUGAUGUUAAAUGGAAAUCUAAGUUUGGGGAGUUUCAACUUUCAAGAGCUGAGUCAUUAUCGCAUGAAGAUGUCUCCGUAACAUCUCUUUUUCCACUUACACUCUAAGCGUAUGGUCCUGUGAAAUCACCGUCGCCGAAAACUGGCUAACAGAAUCUGAACCGGUCGAGGAUUGAAGACGAAACCAUAUCGGUGAUGGCCAAGCGCCGUCGUCUACGGCGGGACUGAACGGAAGAGAGAUAGAUCUCAGGAAUAGUGAACCAUAUAUUGAUGGGGCUGGUACUGAACCUGACCAUGUGAUUAGAACAACAGUUCGUGGUUGGAUUAUUAUAGAAAAUGUAUGCAAAAAGUAUGGAAUCCCCAAGAAAUUCACUUUUAUGUGUUCGAAUUUAAUGUAAAAUUUGGUGUGUUUAGAGUUAAAUGAUGAAAUUUUGUAAAAUAACAAGUUUUCAGUAGUGAUGUAAUUAUGUGAAAUAACCGGUUAAUAAAUUUCACUUGUUUUUUUUUUGCUAUAAUGAUAACCGGCUACUCUCCGAAAUGCACAACUAACAAUAAUAUUAUCCGGAUAAUUAAUAUGCAUUAUUUAGCUUAUUGGAUAUGAUACUAAUUUUUGGGUCUAAAUCUAUAAUAACAACUGACUAUUGAUUGAAAAAUUCAACUAACAAUAACAAUGACCGGAUAAUUAUAUAUGUUUGUCCACCACUAAUUUAAAUAACCAACAACCAUUCAAAAUAACUGGAUAACUGGUUUGUUAGCUGAACAAAUCAAAACAUAACCAUUCUAUUUACAUCCAACAAUCUAUACUUCAGACAUUUUAUAUAAAUCGGUUAGUCACUGGUUCAAUCAUACAUAGCUAUAUUUUAAAUAUUAUUCAUUUACUAAUUAACAUAACCACCAUCAACUCCAAUAGCCGGUAGUUUUAACUCAAAACAUUAGUUAAUAUGCAAAUUAUACGGAUAAACUGAAAUAUAACCAUGCUAAUUUAUAAAAAUAUAAAAAUUACAUUUUAACUGUACUAAUUUACGUAUUAACUAUAUGAUUUAAUAUUUAUUAGCCGGCUAAAAUAAAGUCAAAAUAAAAUCAAAGAAAAUAAGUACAAAAACAUAUAUUUGUUAGCCAGCUAAAUUAGUUUAACAGCUUGAAACAUAUUUGUUGGCCGUUUAAACUAAUUUAAUAAACUAUAAACAUAUUUGUUAGCCGGCUAAGCUAAUUUAACACUAAUAUUUUUGACAGCUAUAAAAAUUGUAAGAUAUUCACAAAAACACAACUAAGGAAAAAUACCAAAUAAAAAUACAGGAAGAGAGCUACGCUAAUAGAAAAGUAUGUCAAGUACAUAGCGACUUUCUCUUCUUGACAUGUCACCAAACAACCUCAUAAGCCUGCAACAGAAGCUAUGAAAGUAAACCCAGAAAGAAGCUAGCUAACAUUGUACUCUACAGACUGAAUCUUCAAUAAGAUACAACAACUGAUUAUCGGAGAGCUGUUUCUGGUGGUGCGCCGCCGCUGCGCUAGAUCUCUAUUUUCCGUUCAUUGUCGUUCAACCAUGAAUCACAGCUUUUAUCUCUUAGCAUGAAUCAGAGCCACAAAUGAAUCUUCUAAUUGGAUGUCUGUUAAGCUGUUAAUCAAAGCUUGCUUUUUUAUUUCUAUGUCGUCUCCUUCUCUCUCUCCAUUGAUGAAA